rnacentral:rRNA from 1 species
UACGGGGGGGAGCAAGCGUUGUUCGGAUUUACUGGGCGUAAAGGGCGCGUAGGCGGCGCAACAAGUCACUUGUGAAAUCUCCGGGCUUAACCCGGAGCGGUCAAGUGAUACUGUCGUGCUAGAGUGCGGAAGAGGCGAGUGGAAUUCCUGGUGUAGCGGUGAAAAUGCGCAGAUAUCAGGAGGAACACCAAUGGCGAAGGCAGCUCGCUGGGGACGGUACUGACGCUGAGGGCGCGAAAAGCGUGGGGGGAGCAAAACAGGG